AUUGAACGCUGGCGGCAUGCUUUACACAUGCAAGUCGAACGGCAGCACGGACUUCGGUCUGGUGGCGAGUGGCGAACGGGUGAGUAAUACAUCGGAACGUGCCCAGUUGUGGGGGAUAACUACUCGAAAGAGUAGCUAAUACCGCAUGAGAACUGAGGUUGAAAGCAGGGGAUCGCAAGACCUUGCGCAACUGGAGCGGCCGAUGGCAGAUUAGGUAGUUGGUGGGAUAAAAGCUUACCAAGCCGACGAUCUGUAGCUGGUCUGAGAGGACGACCAGCCACACUGGGACUGAGACACGGCCCAGACUCCUACGGGAGGCAGCAGUGGGGAAUUUUGGACAAUGGGCGAAAGCCUGAUCCAGCAAUGCCGCGUGCAGGAUGAAGGCCUUCGGGUUGUAAACUGCUUUUGUACGGAACGAAAAGCUUCGGGUUAAUACCCUGGAGUCAUGACGGUACCGUAAGAAUAAGCACCGGCUAACUACGUGCCAGCAGCCGCGGUAAGAC
rnacentral:rRNA from 1 species